rnacentral:rRNA from 1 species
CCUACGGGAGGCAGCAGUGAGGAAUAUUGGUCAAUGGACGAGAGUCUGAACCAGCCAAGUAGCGUGAAGGAUGACUGCCCUAUGGGUCGUAAACUUCUUUUAUAAAGGAAUAAAACGAGGCACGUGUGCCUUUUUGCAUGUACCUUAUGAAUAAGGAUCGGCUAACUCCGUGCCAGCUGCCGCGGUAAUACGGAGGAUCCGAGCGUUAUUCGGAUUUAUUGGGUUUAAAGGGAGCGUAGGUGGGUUGUUAAGUCAGUUGUUAAAGUUUGCGGCUCAACCGUCAGAUUGCAUUUGAUACUGGCAGUCUUGAGUUCAGUUGAAGUAGGCGGAAUUCGUGGUGUAGCGGUGAAAUGCUUAGAUAUCGCGAAGAACCCCGAUUGCGAAGGCAGC